rnacentral:rRNA from 1 species
UGGUGGAGUGAUUUGUCUGGUUAAUUCCGUUAACGAACGAGACCUCUUCCUGCUAACUAGUUCAUUUUACAAUUCCGUUGUAGAAUGGUGGAACUACUUAGAGGGACUUUUAGCGAUUAGCUAAAGGAAGUUGGAGGCAAUAACA